AGUGAACGCUGGCGGUAGGCCUGGCACAUGCAAGUCGAACGGCAGCACAGUAAGAGCUUGCUCUUACGGGUGGCGAGUGGCGGACGGGUGAGGAAUACAUCGGAAUCUACUUUUUCGUGGGGGAUAACGUAGGGAAACUUACGCUAAUACCGCAUACGACCUACGGGUGAAAGCAGGGGAUCUUCGGACCUUGCGCGAUUGAAUGAGCCGAUGUCGGAUUAGCUAGUUGGCGGGGUAAAGGCCCACCAAGGCGACGAUCCGUAGCUGGUCUGAGAGGAUGAUCAGCCACACUGGAACUGAGACACGGUCCAGACUCCUACGGGAGGCAGCAGUGGGGAAUAUUGGACAAUGGGCGCAAGCCUGAUCCAGCCAUACCGCGUGGGUGAAGAAGGCCUUCGGGUUGUAAAGCCCUUUUGUUGGGAAAGAAAAGCAGCAGGUUAAUACCCCGCUGUUCUGACGGUACCCAAAGAAUAAGCACCGGCUAACUUCGUG
rnacentral:rRNA from 1 species